rnacentral:lncRNA from 1 species
AUUACUCUAUAUAACAUGUAAUGGAUUUGGACAUAAAUAUAUACAUAUUAAACUAAAAUAAUGAUAAAGAUUUACCUCUCAUAAUGCCAGUCGAGGCACCUCCACCUUUUAUUAAGUAAAGCAUCAUGGUAAAGCCUGUAAUCCCUAGUAGUUCAGAGGCAAAAUCAUUGGUCUUUUUUACACCUUGUGUAGGUAAAGAACUCGCCCUGAUGGAACUGGUGCUUUCC